AUUGAACGCUGGCGGCAGGCCUAACACAUGCAAGUCGAACGGAGUGGCGAACGGGUGAGUAACACGUGGGUGACCUGCCCUGCACUUCGGGAUAAGCCUGGGAAACUGGGUCUAAUACCGGAUAGUGUGGGAUGGGCCCGCGGCCUAUCAGCUUGUUGGGUGGGUAAUGGCCCACCAAGGCGGCGACGGGUAGCCGGCCUGAGAGGGGGGACGGCCACAUGGGGACUGAGACACGGCGCAGAGUCCUACGGGAGGCAGCGGUGGGGAAUAUUGCGCAAUGGGCGGAAGCCUGAUGCAGCGACGCCGGGUGGGGGAUGACGGCCUUCGGGUUGUAAACUCCUUUCACCAUCGACGCGGUAGAUGGAGAAGAAGCACCGGCUAACUACGUGCCAGCAGCCGCGGUAAUAC
rnacentral:rRNA from 1 species